rnacentral:rRNA from 1 species
AAAACUUACCAGGUCAAGACAUGGGCGUGAUUGACAGGCUAAUGACUUUUCUCGAUUCCAUGGAUGGUGGUGCAUGGUCGCACUUAGUUGGUGCAGUGAUUUGUCAGGUUUAUUCCGGUAACGAACGAGACCUCGGCCUUGUAAAUAGCUAUGCUGCUUACAGGGACAUUGGCGGCUACGCCAAGGAAGCUCGAGGCAAUUGCAGAUCUGGAAUGCCCUUAGAUGUCCUGGGUCGCACGCGUGCUACAAUGACGCCACGAACGAGCUUGCGUGAUGAAAGUUACGCAUAAUCAGCAGUCGGCGUCUUAAGGGAUAGUCUCUUGUAACUGUGGGACUCCAACUAGGAAUGUCUCGUAAGCACAAGUCGACAUCUUGUGUUGAUUACGUCCCUGCUCUUUGUACACACCGCCCGUCGCUCCUACCGAUCGAGUGUUUAGGUGAAUUUGAUGGACGUAAGGAAGUCAAAUAAACCUGAGCACUAGAGAAGAGAAGUCGAGAUC